UCGUCCACAUCGGCUCCGAUCGGAUGGGAUGAAGACUUCUGAACCGGAUCCUUCGAAGCUUUUGAAACGACGAUAAAUUUUUUGGAGACGAGAAUACAACCUACGAAGCAGUUUGGGUUCUCACGAGGUAUACGGGACAAUCCUCGUAGCAUCUACAAUGCCUAUCAUCGUAUGUUCGCUGCACGAAAUUUGUACAAAUGAGUUAUGCACUCUUUUGUUGUCAAAAAUAGAUGAAUUGUUAAUGAAAUGUUAAUUAGUUCAGAAGUAUUGUUAAAAACUAUUAAUGAUGAAUAAGUUAUGAUAUACCUACAUAGGAACAUGCUAAACACAUUUUGAUUUUUGGUUCACACGUAUCUGAUUAUAAAUCUAAUGUUAAUUAAAGAAGUAUAUCUAUGUAUAUCUAUGUUAGAAGUAUUUCAAGUAUCAUUGUAUAAGUAUUGUAACACCACACUAUUGUAAGUCGUUAUACCCAUACAAGGAUAAAUGUAUCUGUAAGAAUGCAGCUGUUAUAGGCAUGACGAUGUCCCAACAUGUAUUUUUGAACGUUGAUUUAUCAAUAAACAUUAACUAC
rnacentral:lncRNA from 1 species